GAGGACUAAGCUUCAGUUUGUUGAUUGAGUGCAAAGCAUCAUGUAUGCAAUAGGAAGGAAAGAUUCUGAAUACAGAAGACUGAACUCCUCCCCACCUCCAACCUACAUCCUUGAAUCUGCAUAGACUGUGCAGGAAACUGAGCCUGAUCACAGAAGUGAAGGCACCGAAGCCUUAUAACCAUGCAGUCUAGGACAAGUCCUGCAGAACAGGUGGCAACUCUGCUUUCAUAGAAUCAUAGGACUAUAAAAAUCUCAAGUUGGAAGGGAUCCCCAAGGAUUGUUGAAUCCAGCUCCUGGCUCCACACAGGA
rnacentral:lncRNA from 1 species